ensembl:lncRNA
AGAACAGGCAGAUUUACCCUAUAAAAUGCAGCGUUCUAUAGAUGGACACAUAAAGAAAUGAAAAAUGACAUGUGCUGCACUCUCAAAGACUGAAUGAACCAGCAUUGCAGCCAUGGGUCACUGUGAGCAUCACAGGGAAGGUUGAAGCCGCCCACUGCACCCGUGUGGCCGGAGUCGUGGAGACCUGCACCCAUGUCGCUGCUCUUCUGUUUAAUGUAGAAGCAACAGUGCGGAUCUGUGGCACAAGGACUGUUACAGAUGAACCUGCAUACUGGGUUUUGCCUGGUAAUAUGACCAAGAUACAGCCAGAGGUUGGCCAUAAGAGACUUCUCCUCUUCAGCUGCCCAAAAAAAGGCUCUUGAUCAAAACAUAAACAGACCAUCCGUAAUGAAAGGUAAAAGGAGCCGUCCUCAAAAAAGAAAAAUCCCACCUGCUACUGUGGAGGAGUUGUCACUGCUAUAAUGCCAUAAUGUUUUAUCUAGGGGUCUAAAUUUAUGCCUGUAGUGCACUGCCAUGUAAAUUAUUUGCAUUUACUGAAUAUGUACUGACUGAGUACCACUGUUCAAAAGUUGAAUAAAGAAACAAACUAAGUUUUGCCUCUUUUUUUAUUAUUAAAACCACUUUAUAGAACAUCACAU